rnacentral:lncRNA from 1 species
AUCUACAGGCAUUAAAUUGGCGCUCUGAGAGACGGGACUGUUAUUAAGCCAGCAACUUAAUUAAGAAAAGGAAGUCAUGUGCUUUAAGAUGAGAAUUCAGACAAAGAGUGCUGCCUCUAUUAUCAAGUGAGUCCUUGCUGUUGCCUGAAGGAGACCAUCACCUUGGAAAGUGGAGGAGACUGCGGUCUGCAGCCCGUUCCGCUGUGGUUAAACCCACACCACCCCGCAGCACAAACCAACUUCUCCGGCGUUACCAGGAGCCCCGCGAGAAGGCUCCGGGGGCUCAGAGCUCCCUGCCUCAUCACCCAUCCCACCCCUCCACUCGUAGCCCGAGCUGAGGUAAGUCUGUCGCGAACUUUCGCUCCGCCCUGUGUGGGACCGGAGUCGGGACACGGAGCGCCUCGCGUGGGACGCCGCCGACGGAGGCCCCCGCGGGCGGGAGGGCAGCGCCGCCAUUUCGGCUCCCGCGCGGCCGCCCCGCGCCCGACAGAGGGCGGGCUCCGGCAGGCGCCCAGCCGAGCGUGUGGGGCCGCGCGGCGGGAGCCGGGCCGGGCAGGGCGCGGGAUAGCGGCUCGGAGGAGCCGGCGGCCGUGA